CAUCCUUAUAAGGAGACAUGAACAGUCCUCAGCUUUCUGCCUUCUGAAUAACUGGCUUGCCGAGGAAAAAGAAGUCGCAUGUCAGAGUCUACUGCCCUCAUGCGAUGGAAAGCAAGCGAGAGGGACGAGGCUGCGAGCAUUGUUGAUGCCACGAAAAAGCCGUCCAACUGGGAUCAGAACAGCUGCUACUGUCAGUGAGAUAAGUGACUGGUUUGGUGAGGGAUCUGCUCACGGCCCACUUGCCUCCACGUAGGGAAACCCCGUUACCUGGGGGUGGGUUUGUAUGAAAAGGUUCCUGACUAGCUGCGGUUAUAAGGGAGACAAGGUCCCCAUUUUCAGGGGCUGCUCAUGUCUCUGGCCAGGACCGGUGUGUCCUACGCAGCAGAAGGUUAGUUCCAGCAGGAUGAAUCCAGGUGCUGAGUUGCUUGCCUUCCUCCCAUGUUCCCCUCGCUCUUUUCUCUGUGUUGGCCAGCACGCACUCACUCAUUCUCUCUCUCUCUCUCUCUGUCCUUGCCUCUCCUUGUGGUGUCUCCCUUCAUAGGACACGGGCAGGUGUGCUAGGGAUGCAUCCCCACGGGGUAGAUCUCGGGAGCCAUGAAGAAGUAGGAGGGGACGAAAAUCAUGCAGGGUAGUGGGUGCAAGAGUGGAGGAAGGUACUGGAAGGUCUUGUGCACCUAUAGUGUGUUUGGCAGUGAUGGGUCUUCCAUAGGUGGUUUGCUGUUCUUGUGGAGGGCUGCUCCAGGGCAGCGGAGCAUCUGCAUGAAGCAGACCUGCACGAUGUAGCUGUUUCACUUUGCAGUGGAGCCGAGGAGCUCUCUUGUAAUGUUGGAGGAGCCAGGUGUGUGUUUUUGUGAAAUGAUAUUUCUCUAUCCAGUAUCUGCAGAGUGAAGUGCCUCGUGGAGAGCAGAGAGAUGCUUCUCCUAUCCAUGGGAAGGUCCAGCUCUGCCUGUGGCUGGCAGUGGUCUGGGAUUGUCCCUUUCCUGGAGGGCUGUAGCUCCUUAGGAGUGGUGAGUAUUUUAGGCCCUGGGUAAGCUGAAGAAGAAUAAAGGAGGGAGCAGCAGCCAGUGACGUGUGUCCGUUGUUCUUCCAUGCACAAGUGGUGACCUAGCUUACAAGUGUUCUCUCUCUUUCUCUUUUCAGUCGUACUGAGAUUGGUCAGAUGAGAGAUCGGCCAACCUGUGGCAGAGACCAAAGAAGGAGCAGCCACCCGGAGCCCAUCCCUAGGGAUGGAAGGCAGACAAUGAUCUGCCGAAGAAAUCAUCGGGGAGCAGCAGCAGGAGGAGAAACUAGCAGACGCGGACCUG